GGGGACGUAGCCCAACCGGCAGCAGGCGCCCGGCUUAAAACCGGGUCCAGUGUGGGUUCGAGUCCCACCGUCCCCA
rnacentral:tRNA from 1 species